GAUGAACGCUGGCGGCGUGCCUAAUACAUGCAAGUCGAGCGAAUGGAUUAAGAGCUUGCUCUUAUGAAGUUAGCGGCGGACGGGUGAGUAACACGUGGGUAACCUGCCCAUAAGACUGGGAUAACUCCGGGAAACCGGGGCUAAUACCGGACAACAUUUUGAACCGCAUGGUUCGAAAUUGAAAGGCGACUUCGGCUGUCAAUUAUGGAUGGACCCGCGUCGCAUUCGCUAGUUGGUGAGGUAACGGCUCACCAAGGCAACGAUGCGUAGCCGACCGUAGGGGGUGCUCGGCCACACUGGGACAGAGACACGUCCCAGACUCCUACGAGAGGCAGCAGUAGGGAAUCUUCCGCAAUGGACGAAAGUCUGACGGAGCAACGCCGCGUGCGUGAUGAAGGCUUUCGGGUCGUAAAACUCUGUUGUUAGGGAAGAACAAGUGCUAGCUGAAUAAGCAGGCACCUUGCCGGUACCUAACCAGAAAGCCACGGCUAACUACGUGCCAGCCGCCGCAGUAA
rnacentral:rRNA from 1 species